GUAUGGUCCUACGCGUUUCAUCCAAAUAACUCUUCCUCAGGGACCUAAAAUCAAUAUAAUUAACAAUAGCAUACACAAUUAAGUAGCCUAACCAUUCCCACCCCCAAGUCCUCUUAACCCCUUAAGGACACAUGACGUGUGUGACAUGUCAUGAUUCCCUUUUAUUCCAGAAAUUUGGUCCUUAAGGGGUUAAAUAAGGCUAGUCCCUAAGUUCAUUGGUGGUUCCGUGGGUGUGUGUCUUCCUUUGUGAUCCAAUUAGUUGUAUCACCUGUGGGUCUUUAAUCUUCCUCCUUCUCAGCUGGUGCACGAACGGCUGUUGGAGACCGGAACUGAAAGUGCGUUCCACUAAACACUUCCGUGCGUUCCAAUCGUGGUUUACUGUAUAGUAUAUGAACCAAUAUGGCCAUGUGUUCCACUAGCA